rnacentral:tRNA from 1 species
UCCCUAGUCACUCAGUUGGUAAAGAACCUGCCUGUAGUGCAGAAGACCCAGGUUCAAUUCCUGGGUUGGGAA